rnacentral:rRNA from 1 species
GUUGAACGCUGGCGGUAUGCUUAACACAUGCAAGUCGAACGGUAGCAUAGAGAGCUUGCUCUCUGAUGACGAGUGGCGGACGGGUGAGUAUAACGUAGGAAUCUGCCUAGUAGCUGGGGGUAAGCCAGAGGAAUUUGGUCUAAUACCGAAUACGCCCUACGGGGGAAAGCGGGGGCUCUUCGGACCUCGCACUAUUAGAUGAGCCUACGCCGGAUUAGCUAGUUGGUGGGGUAAUGGCCCACCAAGGCGACGAUCCGUAGCUGGUCUGAGAGGAUGAUCAGCCACACUGGGACUGAGACACGGCCCAG